rnacentral:rRNA from 1 species
AUUGAACGCUGGCGGCAGGCCUAACACAUGCAAGUCGAACGAGUGGCGGACGGGUGAGUAAUGUCUGGGAAUCUGCCCGAUAGAGGGGGAUAACUACUGGAAACGGUGGCUAAUACCGCAUACCCUCGGAUGUGCCCAUAUGGGAUUAGCUAGUAGGUGGGGUAACGGCUCACCUAGGCGACGAUCCCUAGCUGGUCUGAGAGGAUGAUCAGCCACACUGGGACUGAGACACGGUCCAGACUCCUACGGGAGGCAGCAGUGGGGAAUAUUGCACAAUGGGCGCAAGCCUGAUGCAGCCAUGCCGCGUGUAUGAAGAAGGCCUUAGGGUUGUAAAGUACUUUCAGCGGGGAGGCGUUACCCGCAGAAGAAGCACCGGCUAACUCCGUGCCAGCAGCCGCGGUAAUAC